rnacentral:lncRNA from 1 species
UGCAAAAGGCAGGCACAGCCCCCAGCCCACGUGCAGGUGGGGGCUCUUCCUGCUCCGCCACCCAGUGGCCCCGGAAGUCGUGGGGGGGGGACCCCCGAUUCCUUCUGCAGGCGUCGUGUGAGGUGCUCUCUCACAGAAACUCCUGGCCCUGUGGCAUCUGUUACGUGGUCCAGCCCUCCAACCCUGGACCCCCACUCCGGCUGGCCAGACCUGCGCUCGCCAUAGCCCGAGCCCUGGAGGGAGCUGCGGCCGCACAACACAGGGCUACCGUGACAAAGGUGACAGUGUGGGAAGCUCACAAGAGACGGCCGUGACACGCGGGAAAUGUCCGUGGGGGAAAAAAAAUAAAGGGAAAGCAUCGCCUAUGUGGCAAGCCCGCCUGAGGGACCUGGCCCAGCUCCUGCCCUGGCUGUGCUCUGUGCUCACGUGGGGAUAAACCGGCCCUGCUCUGCCAUUCACCUGCCCACACAUGUGGUGGAAUUGGGUGUGGGCCGUGGGAGGGCAGGGAGAGGGCUGGGCACGCACAUGCUGCAAUAACUCCCCAGGUAAGUUGUCGAUGCCUCCCUCCCCACCGUGAGUUGAGAACCCGCGACCUGGCCCGAGCUGGAACAUGGUAAAGUAAAUUAUCACGGGUGGUUGGAACUAAAAUUCCAUUCAGUCUGGGGGAAAAAAAAAAAAAAAACAAGAAAAACCCCAACAUAAAAAAAAAAACUAACUCAUUUCACAAAUGAGGAAACAGAUGCCCAGGGGAAUGAAAUGACUUUCUCAAAGUCACACGGCUGGUUUCUGGAGAUGCUGGAAAAAUAAUGCUUGUUUUCUGCGUGUCCCGUCUGAGCGCUCUUUCUGCCUCCCCUGCUGCCCCGCAGUCUAUCUGACGUCGCCAGUGAGCAUGCCUGUCCCUCAACCUCUUUGGGCCUCGGUUUUCCCAUCUGCAAAUCAAGGCACUUGGGUUUGACAGUUUCUGAGAACCAAUACGAAGUGACCCC